AGUGAAUAGAUACCCAGGUAGUCCACGCCCUAAACGAUGUCUACUAGUUGUUGGUGGAGUAAAAUCCAUGAGUAAACGCAGCUAACGCGUGAAGUAGACCGCCUGGGGAGUACGGUCGCAAGAUUAAAACUCAAAGGAAUUGACGGGGGCCGCACAAGCGGUGGAUUAUGUGGAUUAAUUCGAUGCAACGCGAAAACCUUAACCUGGCCUUGACAUGCCACUAACGAAGCAGAGAUGCAUUAGGUGCCCGUAACGGGAAAGUGGACACAGGUGCUGCAUGGCUGUCGUCAGCUCGUGUCGUGAGAUGUUGGGUUAAGUUCCCGCAACGAGCGCAACCCUUGCCAUUAAUUGCCAUCAUUUAGUUGGGCACUUUAAUGGGACUGCCGGUGACAAACCGGAGGAAGUGGGGAUGACGUCAAGUCCUCAUGGCCCUUAUGGCCAGGGCUUCACACGGUAAUACAAUGGUCGGUACAGAGAGUUGCCAACCCGCCGAGGGGGUAGCUAAUCUCAGAAAGCCGAUCGUAGUCCGGAUUGUUCUCU
rnacentral:rRNA from 1 species